UACAGCAGCAGUAAAAACCAGAAACGUAAAUGAAAGUAACAUCUAAAACAGUUACUGGAUCUAAGGGACUUUUUCUACAAGCAUUUACAGUUUGCCACGUGAUUAGUAAACAAGACACAUCACAGAAGAGGAGGGACUUUCAGGAGUUGUAUUAGUGAGAAUUCCAGGACAGUAGGUUUAGAGUUUCACAGCCCAGCAAAACAAGCAAGGAUUCCCAACUCCACUCGCACAUAAUGCCUUUCACAGACAACAAAAAAGACAGAACAAUAGUACUUUGUGUAGGAUUCUGGAUAUCUCUGCUAAUGUGGUAAAGCUUUGCCAACAUCAACUCCAUGAAGCACUUCAAAACCUAAUUUCUUCACAUUAAGGCUCUAAGAAAACAGCUAAAAGAAGGCACAGAGUGAAGAAGCCCCAAGAAGGAAGUUGUGUGGAUUCCAAACAGCAGACUAGGAAUGCUGAAUAUGAUCCAGACAAGUGUCCUCGCUGUGAUUCUCUACUUCAGAAAGACGACAAGCAAAACCUUUGUGUUGAAUGCCAUAUCUGUUCUGAAGGAAGAACUACACCAUACCGAUUCUGCUAUGCCUGUCGGAGGGAAUGGUGUGGCCCUAGCACUGCAAGAGACACCUGUGACAAAGAAAAUUGCCUUUUUAUCUAUACCCUUUUAUCCUGUCCUAUAGUCCUGGACCAGGGCAGUAAUGUUUAUGGCUGCCCCUCCAUCCGUGCCUGCCCUAAAUGCUCUGCACUGAUUACACACUCCAGUGGAUGCAAGUUUAUUGGAUGCCAGAGCUGCAGUCAUCAGUUUUGUUUCAUCUGCUUAGACAGUAGUAAACAGUGCAAGGCUAGGGGAGACUUGUACUGGUCAUUGGUUUGUGAAAAGGAACCAGCAGGCAGGCAGACAUUGACAUAGACAUAAAUACAUUUAUAAGGAAAAGCAUUCCUGUAGAAAUUGCUGACUUACAAAUGUGGAACCAGUGAUUAUUUAUUUAACAGCACAGGAAAUCUCUACUAACUGUACAUAAUGUUGCAGCUAUGGCUGUAAUGCCUUGUUAUUAUAAGAUUAGCAGACUUUAGAAUUCAAGUACAUGAUAACAGGAGGCUUUCUGAAAUUAUCAGUCACGACUCUCUUUCAGCUGUCAGUUUCAGGUGUUGAAACGAGCCAGUUGACAAGUCAUCAGCUACUACUACUACUGGUGCCAGCCUUAGUGUUUUUCCCUACUGUGAUAUGCUUGCUAUGUUGAUAUUUUAUAUCAUGGCACCUUAGUACACCCAGGUACACUAAUGAUAAAUCAGCAGGAAUACAGUGUGUUACUUAACAGGUAUGUGGCUAAGGAGUCUAUAUUGGAACAUCGAAUAUUUAACAGUUCGAAUCUCUAAAGGUGAUCGAACUGUUAAAACAUCGAAUGUUCC